rnacentral:rRNA from 1 species
GGGGAAUAUUGGACAAUGGGCGAAAGCCUGAUCCAGCCAUGCCGCGUGUGUGAAGAAGGCCUUUUGGUUGUAAAGCACUUUAAGCGAGGAGGAGGCUACUUAGAUUAAUACUCUAGGAUAGUGGACGUUACUCGCAGAAUAAGCACCGGCUAACUCUGUGCCAGCAGCCGCGGUAAUACAGAGGGUGCGAGCGUUGAUCGGAUUUACUGGGCGUAAAGCGUGCGUAGGCGGCUUCUUAAGUCGGAUGUGAAAUCCCUGAGCUUAACUUAGGAAUUGCAUUCGAUACUGGGAAGCUAGAGUAUGGGAGAGGAUGGUAGAAUUCCAGGUGUAGCGGUGAAAUGCGUAGAGAUCUGGAGGAAUACCGAUGGCGAAGGCAGCCAUCUGGCCUAAUACUGACGUUGAGGUACGAAAGCAUGGGGAGCAAAC